rnacentral:rRNA from 1 species
UACGGGGGGGGCAAGCGUUGUUCGGAAUUACUGGGCGUAAAGGGCUCGUAGGCGGCCAACUAAGUCAGACGUGAAAUCCCUCGGCUCAACCGAGGAACUGCAUCCGAUACUGGCGGGCUUGAAUCCGGGAGAGGGAUGUGGAAUUCCAGGUGUAGCGGUGAAAUGCGCAGAUAUCGGGAGGAACACCAGUAGCGAAGGCGGCUCGCUGGGCCAUUCCUGACGCUGAGACGCGAAAGCUAGGGGAGCGAACAGG